rnacentral:rRNA from 1 species
UACGUAGGGGGCAAGCGUUGUCCGGAAUCAUUGGGCGUAAAGCGCGUGUAGGCGGCUUAGUAAGUCUGCUCUGAAAGCCCUGGGCUCAACCCUGGGAGGCGGGUGGAUACUGCUGAGCUUGAGUCCGGAAGAGGCGAGUGGAAUUCCUGGUGUAGCGGUGAAAUGCGCAGAUAUCAGGAAGAACACCUAUGGCGAAGGCAGCUCUCUGGGACGGUACUGACGCUGAGACGCGAAAGCGUGGGGAGCGAACAGG